AAAGCCAGCGGAUGACUUGUGGAUAGGAGUGAAAGGCUAAUCAAGCUCGGAGAUAGCUGGUUCUCCUCGAAAGCUAUUUAGGUAGCGCCUCGUGUCUCACCUAUGGGGGUAGAGCACUGUUUCGGCUAGGGGUCCAUCCCGGAUUACCAACCCGAUGCAAACUGCGAAUACCGAAGAGUGAUACUCAGGAGACACACGGUGGGUGCUAACGUCCAUCGUGGAGAGGGAAACAACCCAGACCGUCAGCUAAGGUCCCAAAGUUACAGUUAAGUGGGAAACGAUGUGGGAAGGCUAAAACAGCU
rnacentral:rRNA from 1 species